UGUCUCCAUUUUUUUUUCUUUGCAGGGGGAAGACAAAAUGUGCCAUGAGUGAUGGCCUUUGGUGAUCUACAGACAUCCCUGGCUCUAGCAGUCAUUUGUAUGGGGAGAUAUCAAAAGGAUGAAUCAGGGAUGUCUGUGCAUUCCCCUCAGAGCUGUGACUGCUAGCAUGAGCUCUAGUGCACAAUGUGUACCAGAAGCUUGAGGCUCCUCUAUUGCUGAGCCACAGUCCACCCAAUCUCAGAUCACCGCUGGUGGCAACAGGUAGGUUACCAGGUAGA
rnacentral:lncRNA from 1 species